ACAUCUAGUUACUUCGGCCCACACAUAGACUGAAUUUCAAGUCUCCAGCCAAAAGACUCUUUUGACUGAAGACUUGGGGACUACUGUUUGUACCAUACUUAGGGCCUCCGUAUUUAGAUCUCGUAUAAAUACUCGAGGGACUCAAAUGUAAUUAUGUAAUAAAUGAAGGGGCAAAUAUGUAAUAAGUGAAGAGCCCUUAUUCUAUAAAAUGACUCAUCACUCUCCUCAUUAGAGGAGGUGAAGGUUUAGGCCAUGGGAAGAGAAUAAGCUAGAGAGCACACUGCCUCUAGCCUUCUUGUAUAUUCACCAUUCAGAGUGAAACAAUAUCAACAUCAGUGUGGACGUAGCCCAAACAUUGGGGUGAACCAUGAUACAUCUUGUGUUCUUUACUUUCUUGCAGAUUCACGGUCGGAUUUACGUUGUUCCAAGACCUUCCAGUUUUAUGCAUCAACACAAUCUAGAUGUAAAUUUUACAUUUUUUCAUUGGAGAAUUUCCGGCCUACUGAAUAUGCAAAAUACCUAUUUUACGAGAUUUUUCAUUUUUCAUAGGAGAUGCCCUAACAAUUUUAGUUUUUUUUUAAAGGCAAAAAAGGAAUGUCAUUAAGUAUUAUAGUGCAGUGGUAUUGAUAUUCACAUGUAAUUUAGAAGUCUUAAGUUCGACUCAUUGAUUAUGAUUUCGAUAUUAAUUUGUUAUGGCUACACAUUGUACUAUCACUUGUGAAUACAACGAUGUUAUUUAUACUAAAGAGAUGAGAGAUUUGGACUGAACCACACAAUCGGCUAGCCAUUUAAAUUGAUAUCGAAUUCGUUAUUCAUAAAAUUCAAACUUAAAACCUCAUACUUACAAGUGAAAAUAAAUAUCACUAGAUCGUAUUACUAAUUGGCUACUAUGGUGAAAUCUCUAGUUGGUGAGUCAUGCAUGAAUGAGUAUUGAUUUGGGUGAAUGCACAUUUUUCUUUUGCUUUGUUAUUGUUUCUCGAAAGGGAAAAAGUAAUGAAUGGAGAUGGAGAAAGAAAAAAAAAAGGGAAAGAAAAUCAGCCCUCAAGUGCUAUCUCCACCAAUUUUUCCUUUUUUCCUUUUUCCUUUAUUUAAAAGCCAUGUCAUGACCAUGGAAGAAAAUAUCGAUAAUAUCGGCGAAAUAUCGCCGAUAUUAUCGGUUUUUCAGGUAAUGGAUAUUUAAAUAGGUAUCCAAAUGGUUUUCGGUAAAAUAUCGCGAUAUUAUCGAUAAUAUCAAUAAUAUCGCGAUAUUUUUUUAACCGUGCUACUCGGAGAAGAACGCCGGAGCUUCUACAGCUCCGGCCGACCACAAACAAGGGUUCUAGACCCCGAUCUAGGUAUCAAACAAAAGCACGAGACGAGAGGAGUGCGUUUAUACCUUCCAUUUGCCGUGAAACGACCCGUGGUGGUCGAAAAACCUCUCGACACCCACGGUCUCGCCGGAGAUGGGUACGCCUAUUCCCGGGCUGAUUCCGUGCUAAAUCCUUGGUAAAAAGGACAGAAUAACCUCAAUAAUCACAUCCAAGCAACAAACCAACACGGAAAGAGAGGUUCGAGGCUUACCUAACCAUAACCCAUGAAGAACUCGCCGGAGGUUCUUGGGGUUUGGUCGAGUUGCGCAGCGACGGGAGAGAGAGAAAGAGAGAGAGAGAGAGAGACGACGGCGUGUAGAAGGUGAUGACGAUGCCGUCGACGGAGUACCACGAAGGGUGUGCGUGGGUGCUCUCGGGUGUGGGUCAAAGGGUGAAAGAGUGAAGGUCUUCGAGAGAGGGAGAGUGAGUGCAGAGAAGAAAGAAGGAGAAAGAGGUCACGGGGUGGGGAGAGAGAGAGAUACGUGAGGGUGCUAGGGUGCUGCCAUGUGGUAGCUUGAGAGAAUUUGGAAAUCAAGAUGAAUGGUCCAGAUUUGGUUAAGAUAGGGGACUAAAACGAUAAUUUCAUAAUUAUUUGGGGAACCACGAAAAUAUAUAAAAAUUUGGGGUUGGGUUGUUACAGUGUGUCUGUGCGUGUGUGUGUAGAAGUGGGGUGCACUUUGAAGUGUGUGUGUGUAGAAGUGGGGUGUGUGUGUGUUAUCCGAGAGAAGAAAAAAAAAAUCCAAACCUGCUUUCAAAAUAUCCAGGCUAUGUGUCAGUCUGUGUGUGUUAUCUGAGAGAAAAAAAAAUGCAAUAUAUAAAGUGUAAAAUAUUGUACUAAUUCAUUGUAUAUAAUGAUUGUGGUGUCUUUAAACUUUUUUCAUUAAUUACUACAUAUUUUUUACACUCACAAUGUUUGCCAGCUCGCUAUAUAAUCAAUUUAAAUCAGUUAAAUCCAUCAUGCAAUGCAUUUCCUUCCAAUUUUUUGUGAUAAACUAAUAGAUAAUUGACUAAAUAAACAUCUUGCAAAGUUUCAAUUAAAAUUUCCAAGUUUUUCUUACAAUUUCCGUGGUUUCCAUGUAAUUUUUAUCGAUAUCGAUAUUUUACCGAUAUUUCCAUCGAUAUUUCCGUGUUUUCGGACUACCGAUAUUUCCGAUAUUACCGAUAUUUAAUACCUUGGUCAUGACUCAUUCUAUACUUGAAAAUUAUCUUGAGACCCUACGGAAACUCAUAGUCCCAACAUAUCUAUUCUAGAAUCAAAAUAAUCACUAUUUUUUUAAGCAAAUAAAAAUAAAUCAUACGUUCAUAGAUUUACGUCAUCAACAUCCAAUCUAAUUCAAUCUGUUUUGGAUCGACUUUGGUGACUUGAAUGGAUUUGGUUGGAUUUCCUAUUUCAAUAUAUAAAUCAAUUGAUAUAACUCUUGGGUGAAUUUGACAAGGUUUGGUUGAGUUGAUAAUGAUCAUUCUUUUUGCUAGACCAAAAUUUAUGUUAAAGUCUCAUUGUUAGCAAUUCUUCUCAUUUGGCAAUCUGUAAAAAAAAAACAAAAAAGAGACUAAGACCUCCUCUAUAAAUCCUUAACGUUAUGUUUGUUUGACCUCAUUAACAAUCACUGAACUGAACUGGAUUACUUAUUAGUCUAGUCCUAUGUUUGCCACGUGUUGAGAUUAAAAUUAAUAAGACUAAAGGGGACUCGCAUCGACAAACUCCUUCAUUAGGAGGUUUGAUCGAGACACCCCAAUAACCAUGGGACUGCUAAGGCCUCCCUUCACUUCGUUUGCUCUUUGCUAUCCAACAAAAUCACACCACCAGCCAUAACACUCUAUCCCUCUCUCCUCAUCCUGCUCGACUGCGAUGGUGCCUCCUAGAUUGCCAUUCACCAUAAGCUCGACAUCAAUCUGCGUCAUUUCAAACUUCAACGCCUAAAACUCCAACGACUGUACUGUCUGCAAAUCAAGCCCAACGUCUGCAUAGUCUGCAACUCAGGUCCACGGGCAGCGCCACAAUCGAUCGCCAUUCACAAAAUCUAGAUGCCGAUCUGCGCAUUCCUUCAUGAACCGAUCCGUAAGUCUUUCA
rnacentral:lncRNA from 1 species